UUUUGUUUAUAUCAGAGAAAGAGGGAGAGAGCACAAGCAUAAGCAGGGAGAGGGGCAGAGGGAGCAGCAGACUUCAUGCUGAGUGGGGAGCCUGAUGUGGCUUGAUCCCCAAACCCUGGGAUCAUGACCUGAGCUGAAGGCAGACACUUAACUGAGCCACUCAGGCGCCCCUGCUUUUAGUUCUUAUUAAAGAGUAAAAUUGUCUUUUUUUUUUUUAAAGAUUUUAUUUAAGGGCAGCCCUGGUGGCUCAGCGGUUUAGACACCUUCGGUCUGGGGUGUGAUCCUGGGGUCUCGGGAUCGAGUCCCAUGUCAGGCUCCCUGCAUGGAGCCUGCUUCUCCCUCUCUCUCUCUCUCUCUCUCUCUCUUUCUCUCAUGAAUAAAUAAAUAAAUCUUUGAAAACUUUUUAUUUAAUUGUUCAUGAGACACAGAGAAAGGCAGAGGGAGAAUCAGGCUCCCUGUGAGGAGCCUGAUGCGGGACUCGAUCCCAGGGCUCUGGGAUCAUGACCUGAGCUAAAGGCAGAUGCUCAACCACUGAGCUACUCAGGUGCACUGUAAAAUUGUCUUUUUCAAAAGGAACUAGAAACAGAUUCACCCAAACAUUUUAAAUAUUUCUAAAGCUUACAUUUAAGCUAAAUGACUACUUAGCUAUGGAUGAAGCAAUGGAUUAGCUCCAAUUUUAGUUCUACAACUACCUACCUAGGUGACCACUAGGUAAACUUCAUUUGUAAAAGGAGCAGAGCUAAAUUGGAUGAUCCUAAAAUCUUCUGAGUAUCAUGUGGGACUAGCACCACCUCGUGGACAUUCAUUUAGAAAUACAUGAUAAGGUAAGUUACAUGGCCAAGGUAGAAAAGCUGAUGGUUAAAAUAGCAGUAAAGGCCUUAUUCUUCCUGGCAGCUUCCUCAAUAAUUUAGUUUACUGAGAAUAUAUGAAAUGGCUUUAAUUCUUCAGAAAAAAAAUUAAAAUUGUAAUUUUUAACUGACAGAUUUCUUUAAUAGACUGACAUCCCCAGGAUGCUCAAAAACAAACAUAUGCCUACUGCACUCCCCCCUCAUCACUGGCUUAUUUGGAAAAGAAAAAAAAAUUACAAAGAAAUCUGAAAUCUGUCUAAUGGAGAGUUUAAGAAGCGGAGUCUUAAGCCACAUGAGCCAAAAGCACCCCUGAAAUUCUGCACUCCAGUGCCGUGGCCUUUGGCACCAGCAUAACUGGGAAAAGGGGGCAGCAUUUCAGUUCCAAUGUGAAUGGUGCUCCCUUGGAGGUUUUCCAGGAGGCUAGGCUGGUGGAAACAGGCAACUGGCCUGGCUUAAACUGUUUAGAUUUGGGCCUUGAGGCUAAAAGGUAAUCUGUACUAUUUCAGCAUGUUUUAUGAAUUGGUUCCACUGUAACACAGCCAAAAUUUGCCCUUCAAAAAUCAUCCCAAGAGCCUAUCGUGGCCACUCCCUGCAUUUCAGCACACUUUUGUGCAGCUUAAUUACUGUAUAUCUGGCACCACUUCAUGCCCUUUAUACACUUUCCCAAUCCUGGGAUUCAUGUGCUGCCAAAGCAUAAUAAUCUUGUAGUGAAUACAUUUUCUCCUUUAAGCACUGAAACUUAAAGCCUUUUUACAGCUUUUUUCUGAGGUGUCUUGAUGUGCAAUAUUUAAGACCUUACCUGUGUUCACCAUAACUGUAGAUAAUAAAAGUUUUCAUCUCUCUUUUAUCCACUUAGACCUCAUAAAGAUGAAAAAAACAAAUGAUGACACACACCUUUUACUGUGCAUCUAUUUUAGGCCAGGCCCUUUAUGAUGCAGUCUCUCAAUUUAUUCUUACUAUAGCUCUGCUAUAUUUCCUCCCAUUUACAGAGGAGGAAAUGAGAUCAUAAAGCCAGAAAGUACCAAAACCAAGAUUUGAAUUCAUGUCUUCUGAUUCUAAAUCCAUUGUUUAUUCAUCUAUGCCCUGGUGAUACUAACAAGCUUGUGUGCUAAAUAUAAUACCUACACCCUACCACAUCUUUACUUCGGAAUGAAAACCACAAAGAAAUAAAAAAAGUAGGAGUCAAGUGCAAUAUAAGAACAAGAAUAAGCACAACACCCUAAGUGAGCCAAGAUCCUCAAAGGACUUAGGGAUGGCAUGAUUUCUCAAGUCUAAAGGACUACUCAGGACAUUUAAUAGGGUCUUGGAUAAUGAAUACUUGAAAGUUUAAGAAGUCUCACAGUACUUACCAUCCCACAGGUUGUUCAUUUACAAAAAAGUGUACUUUAAAAUGAAAAAAAAAAAAAAAAAAAAAAAAAAA
rnacentral:lncRNA from 1 species